rnacentral:lncRNA from 1 species
AUGUUGAUGGGGUCUUGUUCUCAUGGGGGUUAUCAGGAGGCUUUUGAUCUUUUUAUUUCCCCAGAUCCUCCUCGAAAUGUUUCUCUUUUGGCUGCUCCUCUAGGUUUGCAUGUGGAUCUCGGUUCUCGCCCCAGCCCCUCCCGCAAUCGUCGUGAUUCACUCUUCAACAAUGAUUGGAUGUUUUUGCUAAUAUUUUUGGGCAGGAGUUGUGAGGGGAUUGAAAAACCUAGCGCAUUCUUCUAG